UACGUAGGGUGCGAGCGUUAAUCGGAAUUACUGGGCGUAAAGUGUGCGCAGGCGGCAGAGCAAGUCGAGUGUGAAAGCCCCGGGCUUAACUUGGGAAUGGCGCUUGAAACUACGGUGCUGGAGUGUGGCAGAGGGAGGUGGAAUUCCACGUGUAGCGGUGAAAUGCGUAGAGAUGUGGAGGAACACCGAUGGCGAAGGCAGCCUCCUGGGCCAACACUGACGCUCAUGCACGAAAGCGUGGGGAGCAAACAGG
rnacentral:rRNA from 1 species